GGUGAACGCUGGCGGCGUGCUUAACACAUGCAAGUCGAGCGAGAAGUUUUGAAAAGAUUCUUCGGAUGAAAUUUAAAAUGGAAAGCGGCGGACGGGUGAGUAACGCGUAGGCAACCUGCCCCAUACAAAGGGAUAGCAUUUGGAAACGAAUAUUAAUACCUUAUGAAACUUAACUAGUGCAUGCUAGGUAGGUCAAAGAUUUAUCGGUAUGGGAUGGGCCUGCGUCUGAUUAGCUAGUUGGUGAGGUAACGGCUCACCAAGGCGACGAUCAGUAGCCGACCUGAGAGGGUGAACGGCCACAUGGGAACUGAGACACGGUCCAAACUCCUACGGGAGGCAGCAGUGGGGAAUAUUGCACAAUGGGGGAAACCCUGAUGCAGCAACGCCGCGUGAACGAUGAAGGCCUUUGGGUCGUAAAGUUCUGUUCUAGGUGAUGAAAACUGACAGUAACCUAGGAGAAAGCCCCGGCUAACUCCGUG
rnacentral:rRNA from 1 species